CGGACGGGUGAGUAAUGUCUGGGAAACUGCCUGAUGGGGGGGGGUAACUACUGGAAACGGUAGCUAAUACCGCAUAACGUCGCAAGACCAAAGAGGGGGACCUUCGGGCCUCUUGCCAUCGGAUGUGCCCAGAUGGGAUUAGCUAGUAGGUGGGGUAACGGCUCACCUAGGCGACGAUCCCUAGCUGGUCUGAGAGGAUGACCAGCCACACUGGAACUGAGACACGGUCCAG
rnacentral:rRNA from 1 species